rnacentral:misc_RNA from 1 species
CAUGCGCAGAAGCAUCAGUGGUGACCACAGCUGCCAACGCUGCUAUCGUUCUAAUUCGUUCGCCUGUUUGAAUUUUAAAAUUUUGUCCUAGAAACCUUUUAUCUCUAUUUUUUUCCCCCUCAUCUUCUGUCUGCUUUCCUCGCAGAAAACUUCCAGUCUGGAUUACAAAUUGCUGUAUUUUCUUUCAUCAUCUGGGAGAGAGAGACAAAAAACAGUGAAAUAUAUUACUGGAAUCGUUCCAGGAGUAUGAGAUAUUCCUACCAAAAGCAACAUUAACGACUCCACCAGUUCUUCUCUUUUCUUAUUUUGAGACCAGACAUGAUUUGAAGAGACCAUCUAUCUAACCGUUAUGUCGUGAGUCCAAGAAAUUAAACCUUCUGCUCGGAUACCUAAAUGUCUAAAUAACAAUAUUUAAUAGUUGUCUUUUCAUCUACAACAUCGCUUCUAUAAUAUUCUAGUAAUUCUUUUUGGCAAACCGUUUAACUCGGUUUCUUCCUUAUUAUAUGUAUAUAUAUAUAUAUAAUUAUAUAUUCAAAUCAUCAUAGAUUAUAAAUAUUAUAAACAGCAUACACCGUGUGUGAUUUAAUCAAUCUUUGAGGGUUGAAAGAAAGCCUGUUGUUACUGUCUUUAAUUACAAGGGAGGGUUUUCAUUUGGCCCUCUCAACAAAACUCAAGGACUUCACGAUGGAUGUUCUCGAUUCAAAUAUAAGGUUUGCCUCGCAGGAAGAUGAGGUGAAGUACUGGCGGACGAAAGCCGAGGAAACGCAGAGAGACCUGCAGGCGUUACGAGAAGAGUUUCUGGAGUUCCAUACCAGCAGUAAAGAGCUUGAAGAGGAGAUGGAUACCACAAUAAAACACCUAGAUAAAGAGAAAAAAGACUUUACUGCAGUAAACAGUCGCUUACAAGAAGAAGUAGAAUCAUUAAAGCGUAAAUUAGAGUCCUUGCAGACAGCACGUCACUACGAAGUAUCAAAACUACAAACAGAUCUUUGUGAGGUUACGGCUUGGAAGGAAGAACACCAGAAAUACAUAAUUCGGAUAGAGCAGCUUAAUGAUGAUUUGGAAAGACAGAACAGAAUUGCUGCAUUGUCAUUGACAGAUUUUGAAAAGAAUCUCAACAUGGCUUUGGAGAGAAAUGUUUUCCUAGAGAAUGAACUUGAUGGCAAAGAAAUUCUCAGAGAAUCUAUUCAGAGAUUAAAAGAUGAAGCAAGAGAUUUACGAAAUGAAUUGAAAGUAAAAGGCAUGAAAUUUGGGCCAGAUGUCCCUGAACAUUCAUCAACACCUGACCUCCCUAGUAGCAGUGGCGUAGAAUGUGCAUCAGUCACCUCAACACCCCCUUCUUCUUCAGAAAAUAGUCGGACACCUUCAGCAAUGUCUGAUAACAGUGCAAAUCCAAACAGUGCAGAAAACUCAUCAACUACAUCUACAGCAACAACAAACAAAGGCUCUGUCAUAUCCUCGGCUGCCCGAAUCUCAGCUCUUUCCAUUGUAGGAGAUUUGUUGCAGAAAGUUGGUGCACUCGAAACAAAGCUCGCUUCUUGUAGGAAUUUCAGUGCUGGCAGUGAGCAGCCGUGCGGUGGUUUGGUAGCUAGUGGCAGCCCUGUUAAUUCACCACGUUUAGUGUCGCUGGCACCACAUAGGAGCAAAUAUCAAAAGCUGACGAGAAACUCCUCCGACCAGAACACUGUAUAUAUUUGAAAGCAUGCAGCAGGCAGCAGCUUCUCAGUGCCACCACAUAUUCUGAUAGAAGGCAAUGGAAAGGCAGUAUUGGUCAUCCCGUUUGAAGCGAGGAGCAGUCCAUCAGCGAACCCCUUUGAAUGUGACUAUGUGACAACCAGCAUCUCCAAGGAACACGAGCGCAGCUGUUAAAGCCAGCAGAACACAACACAUUUUAGGCAGUUUAGCACAUGUCCAUUAAGUGUGCCAGACCUUUACCUCUUUGUUCUCUUAGUUAUGCUGGCUUUCCUGAGUUUGGUUCUCUUGGAAGUGACUGUAAUGGUAUGGUUGGGGAAUGAGUGUGAAACAUGGAUGGGAAAACUGAGUCCUGCCAGACUGGUUCAUGCCCUUCUAUCACCAGGCACCUUGCUGCUAGCUGUGUUGCUUGAUGUCACCACAAGUUAUUACUGCUUUAAUGCUCUAUUCAAACUGGAAGCUGGCUAUAUCUUUAUAUGCUCCCAGCCAUUCUUUACUGUGUAAAACUUUCAUCUUUUAUAAUUAAGUUGGCAGAGAUUAGUGGUUUUUUUUUUGUUCAUUUUUUUUUUUCCUCCUUAUCUUUUCCUUUCUUCUAUCAUAUUUUGUUCCUAAGGAACAGUCAUAAAAACAUUUGUAACAUUUCUGUAGCUGAAACUAUUGUACUUAAAGUAUGUACUCAUAUUCUGAAGAGUACUACUAGAAUAAUUCUUCAGCUUUUCCACUCCCACUUCUCUGAUCUCUGUUGUAUUUUCUAUCUAGUCCUCACCUUUGCCAAUGUCUUAUCUCUGCUGAUAGAUUCUUGGCACAGUUAAUGUCUCUGAAUUUGAAUGUAAAAUGAUUACUUUCCCUCUCGUCAUUUUAUCAUCUUCAUCUCUUUAACUAGUUUCUCCAUCUUGUUAUUUCUUUAUAUUUGGAAGCUUUCACUAAUAUUUAAAUUAUUUCUUCUAGCUCAUUACUUUUCCUGUUUAAGUUUUAUAUGUAGUUGAGGGGAGUGAGUGAAAAUACUCACCCAUGUCAAAAUUAAUAAUUCUGUAUCAUAUAUCGAAACUUAGUGAAAUACAUUUUAACAUAUUCAAUGCUUAUGAAGGUAAUUUCUUACAUUAAGUGCUAUUUUUUUAUCCUUUAAUACUGUACAAAGGAAUGAUGAGAAUGAAUGUUUUACUAAAGGCAAACUGGUAAAUUUUAUAAGCUCCAAUGUCAAAAGCUGUGAUAGUCCCAUUUAGCCCAAGCAAAAUGGUUUCACUGACUUCCCACAAAACUAAAAACAAAAAAAAUUUCUUUUUUGCCUUAUUUAUCUAAGAAUGAUUUUAUAUUUUUUCUUAUCAAGCUGUUUGGUUUUGUCAUUAUCAUUGUUAUAUUAACUCUAAUUUUCAUGUUUGUAAUAUAAUUCUGUAUUAUAUUUCAAAGUAUAAGAAUUGUUAAGACUAUAUCUAGGUAACUUGCUUUUUCUUUUUUCUUGCAAAGUGAACCAUUACUUAGUUUUUUCUGUUCCUUCUAUAGUUACUCACCAGAUUUUCAUUCAUGCAAAUCAUAGAGUUGUCAUGAUAUUUUGUCCAACAUCGAAGACUAGCUUCUAUUCAUUUAGAGCCUUUUCUGGUUAAUUGAUUUCUUCAUCUUUAUUCAGGCUGUUACAUUACUUUCAUCAACCCAGAUUGCUCUCCACAUUUUCUCAAAUCUUUCUCACAGCACAAGGCCCUACCUCUUCCCAUAUUAAUGUUUUAUUUCCACUUCAUAAUUCUCUGUGGAAUUGUUGGGUUUCAAGUGCUGUUCUAAAUUGCCCAACACAUUCUUUCUCACACAUUUCUCUCUCAUAUCUCUUACACAUACACACACACACAAGUAAUUUAUUUUAAUUUAAUGAAAUGCUCAUUUAUUCAUUUGAGUAAUUGAGGGACAACUCACUCACUCCCUCCCUCCCUGUGUGUGUGUAUGUGUUUUAAUGUCCACUUUUCCAUAUUUGAAUGUCUGUGGGUAACUUUGAAGGCACAGAAAUAUGUGAAUUUCUGUCUUGUACAUUUAAAUGCACUUACGGAAAAAAUGAAUCAAAAAGAUUUU